CCUCUCUCUGUGUAGGUCCUUACAGGGAGGUACAUACCACCACUCCUAUGUCCUCUCUCUGUGUAGGUCCUUACAGGGAGGUACAUACCACCACUUCUAUGGCCGUGGCAGCGGGAAAUGUAAUUCCACAUUUUGCAGAUCAAAGCCCAUUGUAUUCUAAUGUAUUCAUCACACUCUAUUCUAAUCUAUUCUCUCACAUGAACAAACAUAUGGCGGCUCUCUGCUAUGGUUGUUGUGUAAUUAAUAGGCAUGGUGGGGCAAUUAAAACAGGGAGGCUUCAUGAGCCUGCUGAUUAAGAUAUUUAAAGCAUGAAUUUCAAUGAAUGUCUGCCCAUAUCCUGGGCCAUCU
ensembl:lncRNA